CAGAGCCGCGGUAGUACGUAGGUGGCAAGCGUUGUCCGGAAUUAUUGGGCGUAAAGGGCUCGCAGGCGGUUUCUUAAGUCUGAUGUGAAAGCCCCCGGCUCAACCGGGGAGGGUCAUUGGAAACUGGGAAACUUGAGUGCAGAAGAGGAGAGUGGAAUUCCACGUGUAGCGGUGAAAUGCGUAGAGAUGUGGAGGAACACCAGUGGCGAAGGCGACUCUCUGGUCUGUAACCGACGCUGAGGAGCGAAAGCGUGGGGAGCGAACAGGAUUAGAUACCCGUGUAGUCCCUGUCUCUUAUACA
rnacentral:rRNA from 1 species